GACAACAUCUAUCCCGAAAGUGUAGGAGUCCUUGGACAGAGUUGGACUUCCUUGUCGGCAACCUUGCCAAUUCCAUCUUGUUCGUAGAAAACAUGGUAAGAGCAAGGAUGGAUUUAUGCAAAUUCAUGUCGUUGAUGCGGGAUCGCGUCGGCCCUCCCUUGUGCUAGCCAGCCAUCAGGAAGCUCCUGGAUGUGCUAUGCAUGACCUCAUCCUCGUGCUCAUCGGUUGGACGGUGCAAGGCGCAACUCCGAUGCAGCGUCGUGGAUGUGCGGUGUAGGAAGCGGUUCCUUGCCGGCUGGACGGCGUUCAGGCGCCACCCCGGCGCCCACUGAGUACUGCCUCAGCUACAACCUCCCUCGGGGGGGUGCAAAACUGGAUGGUGGCUCUGUUGUUCUCGGUGAUGAUCUUGCUGCUACCUCUAGUAAAUCAACUGAUGACCUGGCGGCAGAAGGAGACGGCUCCAAUGUGGCUAAAAGGCUCAAGCUGUAGUUCAGGCGGCAUUGGAGAGCCUAUUCUUUUGGUGUGUCUGUCCACUGCCUUUUCUAUCAUUAACUACCUUUUGUGCUAUACCCAAUUUGGUUUUCAUUUUAGCUUCUGUUUUUUCAGGAUCACACUGUUGGUUAUGUGCGUGCUCGAAGUGAUCACCUAGCGAAUGGACAUCUCGACGCG